rnacentral:sRNA from 1 species
UGAGAAUUUGUGUUCGAAAUAAGAAUAAGAGUGGUGAAACAAUUCUUCUUUUUUUCUUUUUUUUUCGUCAAAGAACCAUACAAUUCAGAAAACAAAUCUUAAAAAAGAAGAAGCAAAAUUUCUUAAAUAAAAGAAACAACAAAUCACUAAUUAACACGUGAACAAUCCCGUCUUAUCUCACCCGCGUUACCGGUUUUAACUCCAACCCGACCCAACUUCGUUAUAGCCGAAAUAAAAGCUUGUCUAAAAGUUGCUUCACUAGAAGCAAAUGAAUUGACAGUUGAUCUAGAUCGUUCAUCAGAGAACAAAACUUGAUCUGACGUGAACAAACCCAUCCCUUUUUG